UUUUAGACAUGUCAUUAACCAAUACGCUGAAUGAACAGUUUUAUCAAGCGUGGCAUUGGCCAACAAAAUAUGAUCUAAAGAAAAUGGAGCUGAAAUAUGGAGAUUUUUGUACAUAUUAAAACUGUUCUCGGCGUGCAUGUCUUGUAUCCAUUCUUUCGUUGCAAAAGGAACGGACUCAGAUAAGGAGAAUCCAGUAUCUAAAACAGUAUAGUAGGUGUUUGGCGAGGUAAUGACAAAUUCAUUGGAAUUCUGUACGAAGGUCAAGACUUGAAUCCCAUUUGAAAUUAGCAUACUAAUUGGUAGCAAUAUUUUUGAUUUAAUCAAUGUUUCAGGCUUCUCUUGAAUGAAGGAUGGCGAUAAAUCAUUCAAUAAUUUUUCAUACUUCGGUCCAUCCACUUCUGGAAUCACAUACCAUAUUCGUUGAGCUCCAUAAUGAUGAUAGUGCAUACCAAACAAAGACAUAGAAUCGCGUUGCCAGCCUUGACAAGUCAGAGGCUGACCUAGUGAUAUAGUAGACGUCAAUAUACCUGGAGGAGUAAAACGUAAGGGAGAUAAUUUGGAAAAAUGUAUAAAAUAAAGAUUCCAGGGAUCAUUAUAAUAGGCAUUCUGUCGAGAAGUGGGGAAAGCAGUAGUAUUCACUGCGCGUCCAAGCAAAGGAGUCGGAAGGCUUUCUGGAUAAUACGAAAAUGGAGAGGAAGUAGAAGCGGUUGAUGGAAAAGAG